AUACAUGGAUGAUGCUGCUCAGAGUUUAUGAUCUGUUCUUAUCAUCUUGAUAUCUGAUACAGGUGGUAUUUGACCCCAAGAUAUUAAACUUCUUUUUGCAAGUAGGCAGUGCGCUUGAAGUCUGCUUCAACUCCGCCGUGGGUUGGCGCGGUAUUGCACUAUCUUCGGGACUGGUCCACGAUUU